UACAGAGGGUGCGAGCGUUGUCCGGAAUCACUGGGCGUAAAGGGCGCGUAGGCGGCUGGGUAAGCGUGUGGUGAAAGCCCGGGGCUCAACCCCGGGUCGGCCAUGCGAACUGCCCGGCUGGAGCACGGUAGAGGCACAUGGAAUUCCGGGUGUAGCGGUGGAAUGCGUAGAGAUCCGGAAGAACACCGGUGGCGAAGGCGGUGUGCUGGGCCGUGGCUGACGCUGAGGCGCGACAGCGUGGGGAGCAAACAGGAUUAGAUACCCUGGUAGUCCACGCCGUAAACGAUGGGCACUAGGUCCUUGGGGGAGCGACCCCGUGAGGGCCGGCGCUAACGCAUUAAGUGCCCCGCCUGGGGAGUACGGCCGCAAGGCUG
rnacentral:rRNA from 1 species